rnacentral:sRNA from 1 species
UCGCACCCCCAAUGCGCUCCAGGCCCUGCGCGCCGCCCACGCCCGACUGACGCCUGCUCGCUACAUAGUGUUAGCC